rnacentral:rRNA from 1 species
AUUGAACGCUGGCGGCAGGCCUAACACAUGCAAGUCGAGCGAGCGGCGGACGGGUGAGUAAUGUAUGGGGACUGCCCGAUAGAGGGGGAUAACUACUGGAAACGGUAGCUAAAUCCGCAUACUAUCGGAUAAACAACAUGGUAUUAGCUAGUAGGUGGGGUAAUGGCUCAGCUAGGUUACGAUCCCUAGCUGGUCUGAGAGGAUGAUCAGCCACACUUGGACUUAGACACGGCCCAGACUCCUACGGAGGCAGCAUUGGGGAAUAUUGCACAAUGGGCGCAAGCCUGAUGCAGCCAUGCCGCGUGUAUGAAGAAGGACCUAGGGUUGUAAAGUACUGUCAGUCGGGAGGCGUUACCGAAAGAGGAAGCAACGGCUAACUCCGUGCCAGCAGCCGCGGUAAUAC